rnacentral:lncRNA from 1 species
UGUAGAAUCACCGCUUCACCUCCUGCAUGUUUGACAACAUUAAUAUUGCCGUGUAAAUAACCGGGAGUGAACUAAAUAAUUCAUAUGUGAAGUUUCGUCAAUAUGCAACUCGUGACAUAUUGAACUUCACUUAAUGUGUAGUGUUUGAUGGUGUGAACUGUCAUGCCGUGACUUGCAUGUAUUCAGUAGCUCAUGCAUCAUAUGUGUAGUGCAUCGUGUGGUAAAUUCCGUGUGUUGAUUUGUGUUUCCGGUUUGCUUCGUCUCGAUAGAGUUCCGCAGCGUGCCGGAUUGUGAGGACCUGUUCGACUACAUCGGUUCGUCUGCUUCACGGAGUUGUUCUUCUUCCAAGCAGGAUCUCAGGCAAGAUGAUCAUUUCCCCAGAUACCAUUACUAUCAUUGCCAUGCUAGUUAUUUCGAUGCCAUCGAUUAUGUCUCGUUGCCUACCACUUGUUAAAAAAUAGCCUCUCAACAAUGCCAUGAAUACCUUCAAACUGUUCGACCUAGCAAACCACUGAUUGGCUAUGUUACCGCUUGCUUACCCAUGUUGUUAGCGUUGCUAGUUGCAGGUGCAGAUGCUUCCAUGUGAUAACAUGGAUUCCUUGUCAUAUCACCCUAUUAAUGCUAUUUAAUUUAAUGCACCUAUACACUUGGUAAAAGGUGGAAGGCUCGGCCUUUCUAGCCUGGUGUUUUGUUCCACCUUUGCCCCCUUAGUUUCGGCUACCGGUGUUAUGUUCCAUAAAUGAAUGCUCCUAACACGAUCGGGGUUGUUAUGGGGACCCCCUUGAUAAUUCGUUUUAGAUUAAAGCUGGUCUGGCAAGGCCCAACUUUGGUACUACAUUUGCCUAAUAACUAAUGAACUGCAUAGGGAGUAAUUAACCCGAGGAGAUUUAAUCAACCCCCGGGCCAGUGCUCCUCAUGAGUGUUGGCCCCACCUGAGUGAUGUCCAGCGCCCCUCUGGUCACCCGGAGGUUUAGCGAUCCCGACGUCUAGCUCAUCCGCCGUGUCCUGAGAACGAGGUACGCGACUCCUAUCGGGAUCGUCGACACGUCGGGCGGCCUUGCUGGAUUAGUUUUACCUUUGACGAAAUAUCUUGUGCAUCGGGAUUCCGGUGAUGCUUUGGGUAAUCUCAGAGUUGAGGUUUUCCACUAGGGAAUCCGACAAGAUCGCAAGCUUCGUGAUUGAGGAUUUCUAUGCGGCUUGUGGUAAUUUGUGAUGGACUAGUUGGAGCACCCCUGCAGGGUUAAAUCUUUCGGAAAGCCGUGCCCGCGGUUAUGUGACAACGUGGAAGCUUUGUUUAACACUGGUUCUAGACAACUUGAAGCUAAUUAAUUAAAACUUGCCAACCGUGUGCGUAACCGUGACUGUCUCUUUCGUGAGUUCCUUCUCCGAUCGAGGACACGGUGGGGUUAUGUCUGACGUAUGUAGGUGUUCAGGAUCAUUCAUUUGAUCAUUAGUAGUCAUGCCCGCUAUGCGUAGAUCAUCCCCCCUCUUAUUUCCUGUACUCGUAAGUUAGCCACCAAAUAUGUGCUUAGUCGCUGCUGCAACCUCACCACUUAACCAUACCUCACCCAUUAAGCUCUGCUAGUCUUGAUACCUUUGGAAAUGAGAUUGCUGAGUCCCCUGUGGCUCACAGAUUACUACAACACCAGUUGCAGGUACAUGUAAAGGUUACUUGACGCGAGCGCGUUGAUUGUCCAUUUGGAGUUGCUUCUCCUUCUCCUUCUUCAUCGAUCUAGGAUGGGUUCCAUGCCGGCAGCCUGGGAUAGCAAGGAUGGACGGCGUUCUUCUUUUGUCGUUUGUUUUCGUCCGUAGUCGGACCCUGCUCUUACUCUUGAUGUUUAUGUAAUGUACUGAUGUGACUCUGAUGUAGCUUGUGGCGAGUGUAANNNNNNNNNNCUCUUUUUAUAUCUCUUCUUUUCAGUACAUGUUCUUGAAACGAUAUCCAUUCUUGCGACACGACGAGAUGCGCUUCUAUCCCUGACGAGGCCCCCGUGCCAAAUUGAGGAUAGGGUCGCAUCUUGGGCGUGAUAUCCGUCUAGCCAAGAUGUUUUGAACGCCUGGUUAACACGUAAG